CCAACCGGGAUUGCCUUAGUAACGGCGAGUGAAGCGGCAAAAGCUCAAAUUUGAAAUCUGGUACCUUCGGUGCCCGAGUUGUAAUUUGGAGAGGGCAACUUUGGGGCCGUUCCUUGUCUAUGUUCCUUGGAACAGGACGUCAUAGAGGGUGAGAAUCCCGUGUGGCGAGGAGUGCGGUUCUUUGUAAAGUGCCUUCGAAGAGUCGAGUUGUUUGGGAAUGCAGCUCUAAGUGGGUGGUAAAUUCCAUCUAAAGCUAAAUAUUGGCGAGAGACCGAUAGCGAACAAGUACAGUGAUGGAAAGAUGAAAAGAACUUUGAAAAGAGAGUGAAAAAGUACGUGAAAUUGUUGAAAGGGAAGGGCAUUUGAUCAGACAUGGUGUUUUGUGCCCUCUGCUCCUUGUGGGUAGGGGAAUCUCGCAUUUCACUGGGCCAGCAUCAGUUUUGGUGGCAGGAUAAAUCCAUAGGAAUGUAGCUUGCCUCGGUAAGUAUUAUAGCCUGUGGGAAUACUGCCAGCUGGGACUGAGGACUGCGACGUAAGUCAAGGAUGCUGGCAUAAUGGUUAUAUGCCGCCCGUCUUGAAAAAACGGACCAAAAA
rnacentral:rRNA from 1 species